rnacentral:rRNA from 1 species
GCAAAAACAUCGUCUGAAAUUACUUUAGAUAUAAUCUGCCCACUGAUUUUUAAAUGGCCGCAGUAUCCUGACUGUGCUAAGGUAGCAUAAUCAUUAGUCUUUUAAUUGAAGACUCGUAUAAACGAUCUGACGAGAAAUAAACUGUCUCUACUAUACGUAGUUAAUUUACCUCUAAGGUAAAAAGGCCUUAAAAUCUUAGAAUGACGACAAGACCCUAUAAAAUUUUAUUUUAAACUUUAAAAAUAAUUUGUAAGAGCUACAUAAAUUUUAAUUUAAAAUUAAGCUGGGGCGGCUACUAAUUAAACGUUAACAUAUAUAACAUAUUGAAUGAAAAAAUUUAACCUAAAUUUAAAAAUAAAAACAAAUUACUUUAGGGAUAACAGCGCAAUAUUACUUUAGAGCCCUUAUCGACAGUAACGUUUGCGACCUCGAUGUUGAAUUGAAACACCUACCUAGCGCAGCCUUUAGAUUAGGAAGUCUGUUCGAC